AGUGUGCGAAGUCAAAUGGCUGUCGUAUUACUCGAAGCGUACUUCUUUUGAGAAUUUCUUCAGAAAAUCUGCAGAACGUAAAUUUCUGAUCCUAUCUGGCAUUGUCUCACGGCGUCAUUGUCGAAUAGAAAGAGGGAAAAGGAAAGAGAGAACGAGGUGGGUGACGACGGUGCGAACUAUCACAGGUCGCUGGAUAAUUUCUACCUUUCUCGCCAUACGUCUUCAUUAAGAAGUUAUAUUCGUGGUGCGUGCGUUUAAUGGUUUUAGAAAAUCCCAGAGGAGUCGAACUGUUACUACUACCAUUACUACUAC